rnacentral:rRNA from 1 species
UGGGGAAUCUUGCGCAAUGGGCGAAAGCCUGACGCAGCGACGCCGCGUGCGAGAAGAAGGCCUUCGGGUUGUAAACCGCUUUCAGGAGGGACGAAGCCACUCGGGUGAACAGCCCAGAGGGUGACGGUACCUCCAGAAGAAGCCCCGGCUAACUACGUGCCAGCAGCCGCGGUAAUACGUAGGGGGCUAGCGUUGUCCGGAUUUAUUGGGCGUAAAGAGCGUGUAGGCGGUCAGGUAGGUCGGUUGUGAAAACUGGAGGCUCAACCUUCAGAGGUCGACCGAAACCCCCUGGCUAGAGUCCGGGAGAGGAGAGUGGAAUUCCUGGUGUAGCGGUGAAAUGCGCAGAUAUCAGGAAGAACACCCGUGGCGAAAGCGGCUCUCUGGAACGGUACUGACGCUGAGACGCGAAAGCGUGGGGAGCGAACAGGAUUAGAUACCCUGGUAGUCCACGCCGUAAACGAUGGGCGCUAGGUGUGGGAGGUGUCGACUCCUUCCGUGCCGAAGCUAACGCAUUAA